rnacentral:rRNA from 1 species
AGCCAAUACCGCGUGGGUGAAGAAGGCCUUCGGGUUGUAAAGCCCUUUUGUUGGGAAAGAAAAGCAGCCGGCUAAUACCCGGUUGUUCUGACGGUACCCAAAGAAUAAGCACCGGCUAACUUCGUGCCAGCAGCCGCGGUAAUACGAAGGGUGCAAGCGUUACUCGGAAUUACUGGGCGUAAAGCGUGCGUAGGUGGUUGUUUAAGUCUGUCGUGAAAGCCCUGGGCUCAACCUGGGAACUGCGAUGGAAACUGGGCGACUAGAGUGUGGUAGAGGGUAGCGGAAUUCCUGGUGUAGCAGUGAAAUGCGUAGAUAUCAGGAGGAACAUCCAUGGCGAAGGCAGCUACCUGGGCCAACACUGACACUGAGGCACGAAAGCGUGGGGAGCAAACAGGAUUAGAUACCCUGGUAGUCCACGCCCUAAACGAUGCGAACUGGAUGUUGGGUGCACUUUGGCACGCAGUAUCGAAGCUAACGCGUUAAGUUCGCCGCCUGGGGAGUACGGUCGCAAGACUGAAACUCAAAGGAAUUGACGGAUC